rnacentral:rRNA from 1 species
GAGUGGCGGACGGGUGAGUAACACGUGGGUAACCUGCCCUUAAGUGGGGGAUAACAUUUGGAAACAGAUGCUAAUACCGCAUAAAUCCAANAACCGCAUGGUUCUUGGCUGAAAGAUGGCGUAAGCUAUCGCUUUUGGAUGGACCCGCGGCGUAUUANCUAGUUGGUGAGGNAACGGCUCACCAAGGCAAUGAUNCNUAGCCNAACUGAGAGGNUGAUCGGCCACAUUGGGACUGAGACACNGCCCAAACUCCUACGGGAGGCAGCAGUAGGGAAUCUUCCACAAUGGACGCAAGUCUGAUGGAGCAACGCCGCGUGAGUGAAGAAGGCUUUCGGGUCGUAAAACUCUGUUGUUGGAGAANAAUGGUCGGCAGAGUAACUGUUGUCGGCGUGACGGUAUCCAACCAGAAAGCCACGGNUUACUNCGUGCCAGCAGCCGCGGUUAUACAA